GUGAGGAAUAUUGGUCAAUGGGCGAGAGCCUGAACCAGCCAAAUCGCGUGAAGGAAGACUGCCUUAUGGGUUGUAAACUUCUUUUAUACAGGAAUAAAAAGAGUUACGUGUAACUUAUUGCAUGUACUGUAUGAAUAAGCAUCGGCUAACUCCGUGCCAGCAGCCGCGGUAAUACGGAGGAUGCGAGCGUUAUCCGGAUUUAUUGGGUUUAAAGGGUGCGCAGGCGGGAACUUAAGUCAGCGGUGAAAUCUCGACGCUUAACGUCGAAACUGCCGUUGAAACUGGGUUUCUUGAGUAUAGAUGAAGUAGGCGGAAUUCGUUGUGUAGCGGUGACAUGCUUAGAUAUAACGAGGAACUCCGAUUGCGUAGGCAGCUUACUAAGCUAUAACUGACGCUCAAGCACGAAAGCGUGGGGAUCAAACAGGAUUAGAAACCCUAGUAGUCC
rnacentral:rRNA from 1 species